rnacentral:lncRNA from 1 species
AAACUCUAUGACCAAGAACAAACUGUUUAACAGGUCCCGUGGUCCAACAGCCAGCAUCUACCAGUUGCUUCUUCAAUCAAAUAUUCACUCAAUGAGGAUCUUUAAUCAAUGUUAUCAAAAAAUAAGAACAAGAGAAUUUACACUUUAGAGGCUCACAGAUGAACAAAAG